rnacentral:rRNA from 1 species
AACGUAGGGGACAAGCGUUAUCCGGAUUUACUGGGCGUAAAGCGCCCGUAGGCGGCCUGAUAAGUUGGACGUGAAAGCUCCCGGCUUAACUGGGAGAGGCCGUUCAAAACUGUAAGGCUAGAGUGAGGCAGAGGAGCGCGGAAUUCCCGGUGUAGUGGUGGAAUGCGUAGAUAUCGGGAGGAACACCAGUGGCGAAAGCGGCGCUCUGGGCCUAAACUGACGCUGAGGGGCGAAAGCGUGGGGAGCGAACGGG